UACGUAGGGUGCAAGCGUUACUCGGAAUUACUGGGCGUAAAGCGAGCGUAGUCGGUUAUUUAAGUCGGGUGUGAAAGCCCCGGGCUCAACCUGGGAAUUGCAUUCGAUACUGGAUAGCUAGAGUUCGGCAGAGGGAAGCGGAAUUUCCGGUGUAGCGGUGAAAUGCGUAGAUAUCGGAAGGAACAUCAGUGGCAAAAGCGGCUUCCUGGACCAGAACUGACGAUCAGGCUCGAAAGCGUGGGGAGCAAACAGG
rnacentral:rRNA from 1 species